rnacentral:rRNA from 1 species
AUCUCUGUAGAGUCUGCAUAUCAAUAAGCGGAGGAAAAGAAACUAACAAGGAUUCCCCUAGUAACGGCGAGUGAAGCGGGAAGAGCUCAAAUUUGAAAUCUUCAAGGUUUUACCUUGACGAAUUGUAAUUUAAAGAAGUGUUUUCGGUUAGAGGAGUAGUAAAAGUUCUUUGGAAUAGGACAUCAUAGAGGGUGAGAAUCCCGUAUUUGACUAUUCUUUCUAGCUUUGUGAUACACUUUCAAAGAGUCGGAUUGUUUGGGAAUGCAGUCCAAAAUGGGUGGUAAAUUUCAUCUAAAGCUAAAUAUUGGCGAGAGACCGAUAGCGAACAAGUACCGUGAGGGAAAGAUGAAAAGAACUUUGAAAAGAGAGUUAAACAGUACGUGAAAUUGUCAAAAGGGAAGCGUUUGACACCAGUGUUGUUUUCUCGAAAAUCAAUUAAAAAUGGCGGGAUUUUGUGUUGUAUUGACUUUAUCAGCUUUCUGCACUUUUUUCCUGUCUUUUUUAAUGCACUUUUCGUUUAACAAGUCAACAUCAAUUUCUUUUGUUGUAAAAGAGUCAUUGGAAGGUGGCUUCCACUUCGGUGAAAGUGUUUAUAGCCUUUGACUUCUGCAAUCGGAGAGAUUGAGGUCUGCAGCGUAGAUCCUUCGGGGUUAGAUACAUUUGUGCUAAGUUAUAGCUUUUCAUAGACAACUUGUUGACUAUGUUUAGUCUUGUAGCUUACUCGCUUAUGCUAUUUUACCUACGCUUAGGAUGUUGAGUAGCGACAUACGCAC